UUAGGGGACAUCUCCAUGAACUUUCUUUAUCAUUUUAAAAGACAACAACCGUAGACUUUACAAUAUGACCAUAAGAACUGAACACAACCAACCCAUGUUAUUCCCAAGUUUCAUGUUCUAUAACUUAAUGUAUUGAGCUUAUAUUGUAACAUUUUAAACCAAUAAUUUAUACACCAAUACUGCACAAAUAACUCUUGCUUUUUAUAACAUGUUGUCAAAAUAAAUGUGUCUUCCAGGUUGAAACACCCAAGGGAAUUGUUUUAGGAGGGUCUGACAUAAGGAGAUUACAUUUAGUUUUAAUUUACAUUUAAUUUGCUGUUACAUUUGAGGCUAUUUAUUUUCAAGCAAGGUCUUUUUUUCUCUAUUGUCUUUAUUCCUUUGAUGUACAGCUCCAUAAAGAUGUCAGUGGAAUUCUUCACCUUUCUACCAGAGGUCUUUAAGUAAUUUCAGAAGCAUAUUUUAUUUCUGAUUUUAUGAAUGCAGAACUGGAGACAAAGGGGCCUUCAGUCAAUUGCUCAGGGACACAGAGAAUCAGCAGCAGCUCUGUGUGGGGGUGUGAAAGCCCUUCUCUCUCUGGAAUAUCCUCUUCUAAUUGCUGAGCAGAGCCACCUAAUGUACACUUUGCUUUUAGAGAGCAAUAGUUAUUGUUACCUGAACUAGCAUAGACUAAAUUAUAAUCCCAUAAUAUGUGAAAUUACUUUUUUCAGUAACUUAGUGCCAUAUUUUUCUGGAAUUCUAUACAGAGUUCAGGUGUGUGUGUGUGCGCGCGCGCGCGUGUGUGUGUGUGUGUGUUUUAUUCUAACUACUAUG
rnacentral:lncRNA from 1 species